rnacentral:rRNA from 1 species
UGAGUGGCGGACGGGUGAGUAACGCGUGGGUAACCUGCCUCAUACAGGGGGAUAACAGUUAGAAAUGACUGCUAACACCGCAUAAGCGCACAGUGCCGCAUGGCACGGUGUGAAAAUAUUGAUAGGUAUGAGAUGGACCCGCGUCUGAUUAGCUGGUUGGUAGGGUAAUGGCCUACCAAGGCGACGAUCAGUAGCCGGCUUGAGAGAGUGGACGGCCACAUUGGGACUGAGACACGGCCCAA